AAAAGCUGGCCACCCGGGCCAGCAGCAGCAACCUGCUCAGGUCCCCUUCCAUGGUGUGGAAGCUUUGUUCUUUCGCUGUUCACAAUGAAUCUUGCUGCUGCUCACUCUUUGGGUCCGCACUAGCUUUAUGAGCUGUAACGCUCACUGCGAAGGUCUGUGGCUUCACUCCUGAAGUCAGCAAGACCACGAACCCACCGGAAGGAGGAAACAACUCCGGAAGCACCACGUUUAAGAGCUGUAACACUCACUGCGAAAGUCUGCAGCUUCACUCCUGAAGUCAGCAAGACCACAAACCCACCGGAAGGAAGAAAUUCCAGACACAUCUAAACAUUGGAAGGAACAAACUCCAGACACACUAUCUUUAAGAACUGUAACACUCACCGCGAGGGUCUGUGGCUUCAUGCUUGAAGUCAGCCGGACCAAGAACCCACCGGAAAGAACCAAUUCCUGACACAAUCAGACAGAGAAUGCUGAUUCACUAUGCAGUGAAACAUGCCUAACGUGUCAACAGCUAAAUGCCCGGUGACAGUGUGGUUGUCUGGGCAACAGAAGAAGUCACCCACGCAAACACUUAAAGGACCAUACUUAUUUUACAAGAGGAACAGUUUUCAAUGGAAUGGAUAUUAAAACACACACCUGGAUCCCUUUACCACAGGUGCUUUGAGAGGCACCAUCAAGGACAGUGAGCUAACGCAGGAGAAUGGAGUCCCAGAAACCUAGGAGGAGAAGACAAAGUGUCAGCCUCUCGGCAUCUGCAGUGUUGCUAGGAAAAGAGCUCUGAUCCCAGGGGCUUACCCACUUCCACAGGUAGGAAGCGUCCCUGAGAGGACUGGAACAUUAGCAUAUCUCAGAUCCAUCUGCAAAACUUUUGCAAACACGGAACUCCCUCGUUCUAAUCUUAUCAGCAACUUCCAGAGCUGAACCUUGAUUAAUCUGGAUACAAAAAGGAUUGAAACGCCACAUAAUAAGCAUUAACAGGAGGGUGUUUCCUUUAUCAAUGAAGCUUGAUUUAUCCAUGAUGAUCUAGUGCAUUCUCCUCCCAAAAAUCAGGAUCAUCCUCUGCAUAUGAAGGAACAGACAAGCCCUCAGCUCUACCACUUUGGAGAGGGGGGGAUUGGACAGCAUGAGCCUUCAAUUGUAUCUCUUGGAUGACCAAGGAAGGCUGGAUUUCUGCACCUAAAAAAUGGAAGCACAAACUGUACAACAAAUACUCUCCAUUCAAGUUGAAGUUCUCAAAUAAGGUAUCCAAUUAACCAAUGUAUUAAUAACAUUGAAAAUAAUAAUCUCAUAGGAAGAUUCCAAAAAUUUCUGGUUUUAUAUCUAGCAAAAACUUCAUGCACUAUGUUUGAUUUGUAUGUAGAACUCAGGGUGAACAUGCCAGUGACAGUGGCAAUGAGAGGGGUAACUGGGGGCCAGAAGCAGGCUGAGGGAGAGGAGAGGAGGGGGCAGAGUGUGCUCAGGGAACCAUGAGCCAUGCAGGAUAAGCAAUAGGGCAGAAUAAACAGGACAUACCCAUCUGUUUAUUCUCUCUGUAUAAUGUUUUGAUUCUCUUUGUACCCUAACUAACCAAGGCACAGCUCAGGAAGUUGCUGCCAGGAUUAGAAAAAGGGAGUUGCACAUUCUCAAAAAGCAAUGGUACAGUGCAAAGAAUGGUAAUUAAUCCCCCAGCACACUUGACCCAGCCCCUAAAGAACUUUGUGACCUUGGGCCAGGCAGGCAGCUCCCAGGCUUCUGUUUUGUCAUUUUUGACCUCUUCUGGCUGCAGUGAUUCAUUUCCAGAUAUAGGUUGCUUCAGCUCAUCUCAAAGUCUUCUUGUAGCCUGUUCUUUGAGAAAUGGUAAUAUAUCUCUUGAAAAGUUUCUUUUUCUUGCAAAGUCACCCAAUUCAUGAGUUAAUGAGGUCCCACCAGUGAUACGAUUGCAGAGUCACAAAUAUCACUAACUGAAAGGAGUAGAAGGAAGGCGGGAAUUGCAGACACACCAUGAGUGGGUGGCCUCCAGGAGAUACACGUGAGACCAGCCCUGUGGUGGGCCAGGUCAGAAGGACUUCUGCUUAGACUAGGUGGAAACUUCUCAGCAUUCUGAGGAGUACCACCAUCUGACUGGCAGUUUGAAGGUAUCACUUGGGCUGCUGUAUCAAGAAUAGACUUCAGAAGACAAGUUGAACGUAGCAAGACCAGUGAGAAAGGUGUCAUAGCCGUCCAAGUGCAGGGUGGCAGUGGAGAUAGGAGUUAUAUUAAGGAGAGAGUCACCAGGAUUUGCUGAUGGGUUAGGUGUGGGCUGUGGAAGAAAGAUCAAAGUCAAGAAUGACUCCAAUGACAUUGUCCUAAGCAAUUGGAAUGAUGAAAUCACAGUUGUUGAGAUGGGGAACCUGCACAUGGAGUGAGUCUGGAGGAGAGAUUAGUUGUUUGGCUUUGGCCAUGCUGAGUUUCAGAUGUGUUUCGACACACAUGUGGAGGGGUUACGCUUGAAUGUCUGAGUCUGACUUUUGUAUUGAGAUGUUCCUAUCCUACUUCUUCCUACCUCCACCCUGCAAAGGAUGGCCAUGGUUAUCUUCAGUGCCCCCACAAAGCUCUGUGCAGAUUCCUGGUAUGUCACAUUUAUUUCAAAUGGCUUUACUGAGAUGUAAUUGAUAUAUAGUUCACCCAUUUAAAUUGGACAAUUGAAUGGUUUUUAGUAUAUUCACAGAGUUUUGAUCAUGUGUAACAUGGUCUAUUUUUAGAAUAUUUUUGUCACCCCUUCCCCUCUAAAAAACCUCAUAGCCAUUAGGAAACAUUCUCCAUUUCCUAGCAUGGUAUUUUAAAAUAGUGACAAUUCCUAUUUUCAAGUCUGUCAGUAAGCCUCUUAAUGGUAGGGACUUCCGUGUUAUUUGUUUUUGCAUUUCACCCUGUAACAAUUACUCAAAAAAGCUGUUGUAUGAAUGAACUACAGUUUGAAAAAUACGACCCCAAGACUGUGUGUCUUUAAGAGAGAACCAACCCUUUGCAUUCCGGUGCUCUUCGUAUGGCUGCCUGUAGCAUUUUUCAGAUCUAGUUGAGAAACCGAUGGGAGGAUAUGGAGAUAAGUCUCAUUACUCUUUUCUUUCUUGGCUAUACUUCUCUAGCAUCUGUUGUAAACAAAACAGAAAAGAGUCUUUCUAAACCUGGUGAAAAUAUCUCAAAUGCAAGGAAGCCAGUGAUGAAAAAUGCAAUAUCAAAGUUCGGGCUGUUACAAACACAUGGCAUAAAUCACAUCUGCUCAUUAAACUUAUUACAAAGAAUGAUAACAAAAGCAAAGAGAUGUCUGAAAAUGUCUUGGGAAAAAUAAAGUAGCUAAUAAAUUCGUGGUUUUACUGUUUUAUGUCAUAAGGAUGGAUAUAAUUUCAUUUGGGACAAAUGUUUCUGGACUCAGACUACAGACUACAGAUUUGGAGCUGAAGGCCACUACCAAGGCAAUCUCCUCUAACAUCUUCAUUUCAGAGCUGAUGAGCUAGAUAGUCAUGCCCUGUGACCUCUCAGCUGGUUAUGGCAGAGCUCGCCCAAGAGCAAGGGGCGUAAUAUAUUAAUUAGUUUAAACUGAUAUGCGUUAUGUACUAACAGGGUCUGGGCAGACCAGUAGCAUCUAAAUAUUAUUCUAAGAGUCAGAAGCUUUUUUUCCAAUAAAGCCUUAUGCUGAAAACAAUAAUUAUGGCAGAAUCCUUCUGAUGGAGCCUGGGGGGUGGACUGCUUUUUCCCUCUGCUGCUGCAGCCCUGACGUGGUUUAGUGUGUCCUGGGACUAUCCCUUUGACAUCCCUCCUCUGUAUUCUUCUGAAAUACAGGACCCAUCCACUGCAUAUAGUCACAAGUUUACUUGCUUCUCUUCCCUCCUAAACUGUGGAAUCUCUCAACAUAAUGAUUGUGUCUUACACAAAACUGCAUAUCUCAGUUUCUGAACUCAGGAAAUAUUAACUUUGUUCUUUGACUUGCCAGGUUCUUUUCAAGGUGUUGGUGACACAGAUAUGAGGAAAACAGAGUUGACUCAUGGUGAUGGAGCUUACAUUCUAUGGGGCAAGAGUGAGCAGAGG
rnacentral:lncRNA from 10 species